AAGGCCCCUCAUUUUGGUGCGUGAAAGACCCUGAUAUUUAUCUGUUUAUUUAUUGGAACCACUUAACUUGAUGUCACUGAGUAAUAUGAAUACUUUCAGAAAGUUGUUAAAAACACUGCCUUUUCUGAAAUCCUAAACGUUAUUCUCCAACUAAGCUAGGGAGAUGAGCAUUAGUAUCUCUGCUUUGAUUUUCCAUGCUGCUAUAUCAGAUUGGCUACACCUGUACUGGGCUUCUGAAGCCUUAUGAGGUGUGACGUGGGGUAUUCUGCUUCCCCUGGGCAGGGCACAACAACAAAGCCAAAUCUGUGAGGAGACAAUUGCUGGUGAUACCUCUGUGACUCAACAAAAUCCCAGAUCAGUGAGCAGAAGCUGAGGGAUGCCUGAAACAUGGAUUUCCAUUUGAAGCGUUGAUUCCUGGACCAUUGACUUUUGUGGGGGUACUGAUUGUGGAACCUGAGGAGAGCUUUGAGUAAUACCAGCAUAAACUGAAAAUGAAUAAAGGGAAUAAGAAGAAUUCCCAUUCUUCAAGUGAAAAUAUUAAUACUACAAUAGGAAGAAAGAAGCCUUUUUUCUUAGUCUUCAUAAAGCAAGUGCACAUUUGGAAAGUUCUGCAGUUUGUGGAACGCUUGCUCUUUCAGCAUUGAUGAUACUGAAGAAAUAACAAGGCUCUGCAGUGUAGAAAGUUGUGUCAAUAGGCUGAAUGAUACUAUUGUGCUUACGGCAGUGAGAAGAGAAUCCCUUGAUGAAAUCUAUAGAGCUACUAUACAGAAAGAUUGGACACUUGCUGUACCAUGGUUGGCACUGUGAUUUUAUUUUUUUUUCCUCCAGUUCUUACUGGCAGUUACAGAUUAGGAAAGAAACCUCAGUGGAAGUGUGAUUAUUGCUGUGUACGCCGGUUGAUGAGAGCAGUCCGUCUCCUUGCUGCAAUAAUAAUUUUAACGUCUC